rnacentral:rRNA from 1 species
AGGCUUAACACAUGCAAGUCGAGCGCCCCGCAAGGGGAGCGGCAGACGGGUGAGUAACGCGUGGGAAUCUACCCAUCCCUACGGAACAACUCCGGGAAACUGGAGCUAAUACCGUAUACGCCCUUCGGGGGAAAGAUUUAUCGGGGAUGGAUGAGCCCGCGUUGGAUUAGCUAGUUGGUGGGGUAAAGGCCUACCAAGGCGACGAUCCAUAGCUGGUCUGAGAGGAUGAUCAGCCACAUUGGGACUGAGACACGGCCCAAACUCCUACGGGAGGCAGCAGUGGGGAAUAUUGGACAAUGGGCGCAAGCCUGAUCCAGCCAUGCCGCGUGAGUGAUGAAGGCCUUAGGGUUGUAAAGCUCUUUCACCGGAGAAGAUAAUGACGGUAUCCGGAGAAGAACCCCGG